GGGUUGUGAGGUUAAGCGACUAAGCGUACACGGUGGAUGCCUAGGCAAUCAGAGGCGAUGAAGGACGUGCUAAUCUGCGAUAAGCGUCGGUAAGGUGAUAUGAACCGUUACAACCGACGAUUUCCGAAUGGGGAAACCCAGUGCAAUUCGUUGCACUAUCGUUUGAUGAAUACAUAGUCAAACGAGGCGAACCGAGGGAACUGAAACAUCUCAGUACCUCGAGGAAAAGAAAUCAACCGAGAUUCCCCUAGUAGCGGCGAGCGAACGGGGAGCAGCCCAGAGUCUUAAUCAGCAUUAGCAUCAGGAGAACGGUCUGGAAAGGCCGGCAGUAAAGGGUGAUAGCCCCGUAUCCGAAGGUGUUAGUGUUGUGAACUCGACGAGUAGGGCGGGACACGUGUUAUCCUGUCUGAAUAUGGGGGGACCAUCCUCCAAGGCUAAAUACUCCUGAUUGACCGAUAGUGAACCAGUACCGUGAGGGAAAGGCGAAAAGAACCCCGGCGAGGGGAGUGAAAUAGAACCUGAAACCGUGUACGUACAAGCAGUGGGAGCACCCUUGUGGUGUGACUGCGUACCUUUUGUAUAAUGGGUCAGCGACUUAUAUUCUGUAGCAAGGUUAACCGUAUAGGGGAGCCGUAGGGAAACCGAGUCUUAACUGGGCGAAUGAGUUGCAGGGUAUAGACCCGAAACCCGGUGAUCUAGCCAUGGGCAGGUUGAAGGUUGGGUAACACUAACUGGAGGACCGAACCGACUAAUGUUGAAAAAUUAGCGGAUGACUUGUGGCUGGGGGUGAAAGGCCAAUCAAACCGGGAGAUAGCUGGUUCUCCCCGAAAGCUAUUUAGGUAGCGCCUCGUGAACUCAUCUUCGGGGGUAGAGCACUGUUUCGACUAGGGGGUCAUCCCGACUUACCAACUCGAUGCAAACUACGAAUACCGAAGAAUGUUAUCACGGGAGACACACGGCGGGUGCUAACGUUCGUCGUGAAGAGGGAAACAACCCAGACCGCCAGCUAAGGUCCCAAAGUCAUAGUUAAGUGGGAAACGAAGUGGGAAGGCUCAGACAGCCAGGAUGUUGGCUUAGAAGCAGCCAUCAUUUAAAGAAAGCGUAAUAGCUCACUGGUCGAGUCGGCCUGCGCGGAAGAUGUAACGGGGCUAAACUAUGCACCGAAGCUGCGGCAGCGAUAUGUAAAUAUUGUUGGGUAGGGGAGCGUUCUGUAAGCCUGUGAAGGUGU
rnacentral:rRNA from 1 species